rnacentral:rRNA from 1 species
GAUGAACGCUGGCGGCGUGCCUAAUACAUGCAAGUCGAGCGAACAGAUGAGGAGCUUACUCCUCUGACGUUAGCGGCGGACGGGUGAGUAACACGUGGAUAACCUACCUAUAAGACUGGGAUAACUUCGGGAAACCGGAGCUAAUACCGGAUAAUAUAUUGAACCGCAUGGUUCAAUAGUGAAAGACGGUUUUGCUGUCACUUAUAGAUGGAUCCGCGCCGCAUUAGCUAGUUGGUAAGGUAACGGCUUACCAAGGCAACGAUGCGUAGCCGACCUGAGAGGGUGAUCGGCCACACUGGAACUGAGACACGGUCCAGACUCCUACGGGAGGCAGCAGUAGGGAAUCUUCCGCAAUGGGCGAAAGCCUGACGGAGCAACGCCGCGUGAGUGAUGAAGGUCUUCGGAUCGUAAAACUCUGUUAUUAGGGAAGAACAAAUGUGUAAGUAGCUAUGCACGUCUUGACGGUACCUAAUCAGAAAGCCACGGCUAACUACGUG